rnacentral:rRNA from 1 species
GUUAGAUUCCCUAAUCGCCGUGAUGUGUCCAAAGCGUGUUAUACCGGCAGAAUGACUCUGAAAUCCACUGGUACUGUGAUGAAAAUUGACCCCUGGACCUCGGCUCUUGGAGCCAAAGGGGUUAUGGAAAAAGCCUGGGUUAAAGUGAGCAAUGUCCCCUUGGAGAAAAGGAAUGAAAGGAAUCUGGCAUUUGUUUCCUCUCUGGUUGGUGUCCCUCUGGAGAUAGAUGGUGCCACACUUCAUCGCCCCGAAUAUGUGCGUGUGAAGAUAGGCUGCAGGAAUGUGGAUGAGAUCCCACCUAUAGCUGAGGCAGUGCUGGGGGAUCACUUCUUCGAUUUUUAUUAUGAGUUGGAUCAUGUGCUGAUCAGGGAUCCUAUUCGUAAGAAAACAACAGUGAAUGCUGCUCCUGAUCCUGGGAAUCAUACGUUUAAAAAUAUGAAAAUGCAAGCCGCCAAUGGAAACAAGGAGGGGGAUCUUCCUCACAUGUGGCUGGUGCGGGCAUUGGCUCUCAAUAUACAGGCCAGGAAAGGCAACAGGAUUCUCUGGAAGAUGAGGGCUCAGACGAAUCCCUUGAUAACACUCUCCUGA